rnacentral:pre_miRNA from 1 species
UGUUAAAAAUUUUAUCCAUUUUUACUAUUAAAAAUUGUGUUAACAUGAGGUACACAUGGCAUUGUUAUGUGUAACUAUAUAGAAAUUCCAUCAAUCACACCAACUUUUUUAUGGUAGAAAUGGAUGAUCUUUUUAACA